rnacentral:rRNA from 1 species
GACGAACGCUGGCGGCGUGCUUAACACAUGCAAGUCGAACGAAGUGGCGGACGGGUGAGUAACGCGUAAUCAACCUGCCCUUCAGAGGGGGACAACAGUUGGAAAAGACUGCUAAUACCGCAUACUGAAGGAGGGGAUUGCUUCUGAUAAGCUAGUUGGAGGGGGAACGGCCCACCAAGGCGAUGAUCAGUAGCCGGUCUUGGAGGGUGAACGGCCACAUUGGGACUGAGACACGGCCCAGACUCCUACGGGAGGCAGCAGUGGGGAAUCUUCCGCAAUGGACGAAAGUCUGGCUGAGCAACGCCGCGUGAGCGAUGACGGCCUUCGGGUUGUAAAGCUCUGUUAAUCGGGACGCGGUACCGGAAUAGAAAGCCACGGCUAACUACGUGCCAGUAGCCGCGGUAAUUC